AGCGCCUACGGGACGCAGCAGUCGGGAAUAUUGCGCAAUGGAGGAAACUCUGACGCAGUGACGCCGCGUAUAGGAAGAAGGUUUUCGGAUUGUAAACUAUUGUCGAUAGGGAAGAAAAAAGACUGUACCUAUCAAGAAAGCUCCGGCUAACUACGUGCCAGCAGCCGCGGUAAUGCGUAGGGGGCAAGCGUUAUCCGGAUUUACUGGGUGUAAAGGGAGCGUAGACGGCUGUGCAAGUCUGAAGUGAAAGCCCAGGGCUCAACCCUGGGACUGCUUUGGAAACUGUGGAGCUAGAGUGCUGGCGG
rnacentral:rRNA from 1 species